CAGCAGUAGGGAAUCUUCCGCAAUGGACGAAAGUCUGACGGAGCAACGCCGCGUGAGUGAUGAAGGCUUUCGGGUCGUAAAACUCUGUUGUUAGGGAAGAACAAGUGCUAGUUGAAUAAGCUGGCACCUUGACGGUACCUAACCAGAAAGCCACGGCUAACUACGUGCCAGCAGCCGCGGUAAUACGUAGGUGGCAAGCGUUAUCCGGAAUUAUUGGGCGUAAAGCGCGCGCAGGUGGUUUCUUAAGUCUGAUGUGAAAGCCCACGGCUCAACCGUGGAGGGUCAUUGGAAACUGGGAGACUUGAGUGCAGAAGAGGAAAGUGGAAUUCCAUGUGUAGCGGUGAAAUGCGUAGAGAUAUGGAGGAACACCAGUGGCGAAGGCGACUUUCUGGUCUGUAACUGACACUGAGGCGCGAAAGCGUGGGGAGCAAACAGGAUUAGAUAC
rnacentral:rRNA from 1 species